rnacentral:pre_miRNA from 1 species
UAACCUCUGCAGGCUGGCGGGCCCCAGGCUGGGCUGGACGAGUACCUCUUCGAAAGGCUCACCCUGAAGCACGACUAGGAGG